rnacentral:lncRNA from 1 species
GAAGAAGUUGUCUUCUCCCAUUUCUCUGCAACUUCUUUUGCUUCUUCUAUCUUUUGCUCAUAGCUUUUCUGGGAAUUUAGCAGUGUCACUUCAUAAAACUCUUGAAUAUAGUGAACCAAAACUUCCCUUGUUUCCAUGGAAAUGUUUAGAAGGCUGAUCUGAAGUUUAACUGGACUGGUAAAUACAAAGCUCGUUACCAUCCAGCUUAAUC